UCCCCAGAGCCUCCGGUAGCACAGCCGAGACAGCGACGGGUUCUCUGCCCCUGCGGGGAUGGAGCGACAGAAGUUUUGAGAAUUCAAGAG
rnacentral:rRNA from 1 species